GGGGGAGCACCGGAUCCUGGGCUGUGUCCCCUAACGCCCUGGGCUCCAGGGCCUGCGCCUCUGGAACCACGUUUAGGGCAGUGCAGCCCCCU
rnacentral:pre_miRNA from 1 species